GGGCCGUGCCGGGCCGGCCCGGCCCAGGCCCACCGGGCCCAAGGUCUAAACGGGCCGUGCCUGGCCCGGCCUGCUUAUGAAGCGGGCCGUGCCGGCACGGCCCGUCGCGGGCGCAAAAGGAAGCCCGGCCCGGCCCCCGGCCCGUCUAUUGGCGGGCCGGGCCGGGCACGGCCCGUAACGGGUGCAAACGCGCCGUGCCAGGCACGGCCCGCAACGGUGAGGGGUGAGGAAAAUAGCCGUUUCCAACGGCUAUUUUGGAAAAAAGUCGGUUUUACCCCUCCCAACAGUCCAAUAACGGCUGAAUUGAGGGGUAUUUUGGGAAAAAAAAUUUGGGGCUUCUAUAAAUAGCCCUUUCCUCCCUCAUUCUCACCACACCAAACCAACUAUUCUCUCCUUCUCUAAUACUAUUAUUUCUCUCUUCUAAAGUGCUUUUCUAGCAAUUUAAUUUUUAGUUUGCAUUUAGCAAGUGUUCAAGUGCUACACAAGAGGAGGUUCCUGUUGAGAAGAGAAGGUCACUCCUGUUGAGAGCACAAGAGGAAGCUCAGAAUCUCGGCUCUGCGGCUCUGCCUCUGCCCUCCGACCCUCUACUCAAUUCCUCCAAUCCUCCUUGUGGUUAGUUUUUAUUUUUUAAUUCAUCAAUUUAGAUAUGUCAUCUUUUGAGGAAGUCAGUUUGGCAUUCCUCCUGUUUCU
rnacentral:lncRNA from 1 species